UACGAAGGGGGCUAGCGUUGUUCGGAAUUACUGGGCGUAAAGCGAGCGCAGGCGGCCAUCCAAGUCAGUGGUGAAAGCCCGGAGCUCAACUCCGGAAUUGCCAUUGAAACUGUUUGGCUCGAGUACGAGAGGGGUGAGUGGAAUUCCCAGUGUAGAGGUGAAAUUCGUAGAUAUUGGGAAGAACACCAGUGGCGAAGGCGGCUCACUGGCUCGAAACUGACGCUCAUGCACGACAGCGUGGGGAUCAAACAGG
rnacentral:rRNA from 1 species